rnacentral:rRNA from 1 species
AGAGUUUGAUCCUGGCUCAGGACGAACGCUGGCGGCGUGCCUAAUACAUGCAAGUCGAGCGAGCUUGCCUAGAUGAUUUUAGUGCUUGCACUAAAUGAAACUAGAUACAAGCGAGCGGCGGACGGGUGAGUAACACGUGGGUAACCUGCCCAAGAGACUGGGAUAACACCUGGAAACAGAUGCUAAUACCGGAUAACAACACUAGACGCAUGUCUAGAGUUUGAAAGAUGGUUCUGCUAUCACUCUUGGAUGGACCUGCGGUGCAUUAGCUAGUUGGUAAGGUAACGGCUUACCAAGGCAAUGAUGCAUAGCCGAGUUGAGAGACUGAUCGGCCACAUUGGGACUGAGACACGGCCCAAACUCCUACGGGAGGCAGCAGUAGGGAAUCUUCCACAAUGGACGAAAGUCUGAUGGAGCAACGCCGCGUGAGUGAAGAAGGGUUUCGGCUCGUAAAGCUCUGUUGGUAGUGAAGAAAGAUAGAGGUAGUAACUGGCCUUUAUUUGACGGUAAUUACUUAGAAAGUCACGGCUAACUACGUGCCAGCAGCCGCGGUAAUACGUAGGUGGCAAGCGUUGUCCGGAUUUAUUGGGCGUAAAGCGAGUGCAGGCGGUUCAAUAAGUCUGAUGUGAAAGCCUUCGGCUCAACCGGAGAAUUGCAUCAGAAACUGUUGAACUUGAGUGCAGAAGAGGAGAGUGGAACUCCAUGUGUAGCGGUGGAAUGCGUAGAUAUAUGGAAGAACACCAGUGGCGAAGGCGGCUCUCUGGUCUGCAACUGACGCUGAGGCUCGAAAGCAUGGGUAGCGAACAGGAUUAGAUACCCUGGUAGUCCAUGCCGUAAACGAUGA